CUACGGGUUGCAGCAGUAAGGAAUAUUGCGCAAUGGAGGCAACUCUGACGCAGCCAUGCCGCGUGCAGGAAGAAGGCCUUAUGGGUCGUAAACUGCUUUUAUUUAGGAAUAAACCCCCGAACGUGUUCGGGGCUGAAGGUACUAAACGAAUAAGCACCGGCUAACUCCGUGCCAGCAGCCGCGGUAAUACGGAGGGUGCAAGCGUUAUCCGGAUUUAUUGGGUUUAAAGGGUGCGCAGGCGGGCUAUUAAGUCAGUGGUGAAAUCCCGGGGCUCAACUCCGGAACUGCCAUUGAUACUGAUAGUCUUGAGUUUGGUUGAAGUGGGCGGAAUGUAGCAUGUAGCGGUGAAAUGCAUAGAUAUGUUACAGAACACCAAUCGCGAAGGCAGCUCACUAAGCCAAAACUGACGCUCAUGCACGAAAGCGUGGGGAUCAAACAGGAUUAGAUACCCCCGUAGUC
rnacentral:rRNA from 1 species